GGAUCUCAGAGAGGGACAGAGGAAUCGAACCUGGGUCAGCUGCGUGCAAGGCAAACGCCCUACCUGCUGUGCUAUUGCUCCAACCCCUUCCUCCCUGACCACUCCAUGUGCUUCCCUCCCGAAGCUGCGUGCUCAGUCAAAGAGGCUGGCCUUCCCCAAAUAGUGAUGGACCGGUCUUCAGUCGAGGGUAAACGAGUAGCUGUGCUCCCCUGCUAGAACCUCCAAACAAGCACUCAAUGUCCUUUCUUCAUAUAACUAUCAUUACUCUUUUUUAAAAAAAGACAACACCUUCAUUGGGUCUGGACAGAAAGUACAGAAGGUAAGUU
rnacentral:snRNA from 1 species